rnacentral:lncRNA from 1 species
GUCUCACUCUGUCAUCCAGGCUGGAGUGAGGUGGCAUGAGCUCGGCUCACUGCUACCUCCACUUCCCAGGUUCAAGUGAUUCUCAUGCCUCAGCCUCACCAGUAGCGAGAUUACAGAUGUGCACCACCACACUCAGGACUUAGAAGAUUUUCUUUGCUCCCAGGAGAUGAAUAAGAAACAAAAUGGCAUUCUCAAGACUAUACUUUCAGGGAUCAUUUCUAUAGUUUGUUACUAGAGAAGUUUCUCUGAACGUGUAGAGCACCGAGGCAUGGGCAAGGACUUCAUGUCCAAAACACCAAAAGCAAUGGCAACAAAAGCCAAAAUUGACAAAUGGGAU